rnacentral:rRNA from 1 species
UACGUAGGGCGCAAGCGUUGUCCGGAAUUAUUGGGCGUAAAGAGCUCGUAGGCGGCCUGUUGCGUCCGCUGUGAAAAUCGAGCUCAACCUCGAGACGCCGGUGGAAACCAUCAGACUAGAGUCCGGAAGAGGAGAGUGGAAUUCCUGGUGUAGCGGUGAAAUGCGCAGAUAUCAGGAAGAACACCCGUGGCGAAGGCGGCUCUCUGGGACGGUACUGACGCUGAGACGCGAAAAGCGUGGGGAGCGAACAGG